CCUAUGGGCGGCUGCAGUGGGGAAUAUUGGACAAUGGGGGCAACCCUGAUCCAGCCAUGCCGCGUGUGUGAAGAAGGCCCUCGGGUUGUAAAGCACUUUCAGUGAGGAAGAACGCCUGGUGGUUAAUACCCAUCAGGAAAGACAUCACUCACAGAAGAAGCACCGGCUAACUCCGUGCCAGCAGCCGCGGUAAUACGGAGGGUGCGAGCGUUAAUCGGAAUUACUGGGCGUAAAGCGCGCGUAGGUGGCUUGAUAAGCCGGUUGUGAAAGCCCCGGGCUCAACCUGGGAACGGCAUCCGGAACUGUCAAGCUAGAGUGCAGGAGAGGAAGGUAGAAUUCCCGGUGUAGCGGUGAAAUGCGUAGAGAUCGGGAGGAAUACCAGUGGCGAAGGCGGCCUUCUGGACUGACACUGACACUGAGGUGCGAAAGCGUGGGUAGCAAACAGGAUUAGAUACCCCGGUAGUC
rnacentral:rRNA from 1 species